rnacentral:piRNA from 1 species
UAGAACAUCCACUCUAUCACCAACUCGAC